CAGCCGCCGCGGGAAAACAGAGGGUGCGAGCGUUAAUCGGAUUUACUGGGCGUAAAGCGUGCGUAGGCGGCUUUUUAAGUCGGAUGUGAAAUCCCUGAGCUUAACUUAGGAAUUGCAUUUGAUACUGGGAAGCUAGAGUAUGGGAGAGGAUGGUAGAAUUCCAGGUGUAGCGGUGAAAUGCGUAGAGAUCUGGAGGAAUACCGAUGGCGAAGGCAGCCAUCUGGCCUAAUACUGACGCUGAGGUACGAAAGCUUGGGGAGCAAACAGGAUUAGAUACCCGUGUAGUCCCUGUCUCUUAUAC
rnacentral:rRNA from 1 species